UGGAUGACCAAGGCCGUCAGGGGGAAAUAGUGAGACUUUUUGCUAAUGAUCAGAACAAAAUAAAAUGUGAUCUAGAAAUGCAAAAUGAGAUCGACACUUGCAUUUCCAGUGGCCAAGCAACAUUUACUGUUCUGUUGCUGAUGGAUUCCGCUGAGAAUUGGGAGCCAGCAACAUUGACUUUGAGACGUUCAAGUUACCAAAUUAAAAUCAACAGCACACAAGCUGUGGAGAUUUCAGAGAAAUAUUCGAAAGAAUUGUCGAUCAAAGUACCGAGUGGGCUCUCAACACAGUUUGUUUGACAUGUUCCGAUGGGUCUUCACGUCCCUUUAGCACAUAUAAUGUUCGAAUGCGGGAUACACUUGUUUUGACCAUGAGAAUGUUCCAGAGCAAGGCCUUGGAUGACAAGAGGAAAGGAAGAGCGUAGGCAGUAUAGCUUCAGUCCCAUAGUAAUUUAUUCUUUUUCAUAAAUAGAAAAUUAAGAGGAAAAUAAACACAUCAAUGUGUUGUAUCUUAGUUUGAAACAAUAAUAGAAUAUUAAGUUGUAUUUUAGAGUUCAUUGUUUAGUCCACUUGUAGGAAUUAGGAAUCAUGUAUCAUAAGAUCAGAGCAUAUUGUGGAACUAUUUCAGCCAUGAACCAGAAAAUGGUGGAAAAUGAGAUACCGGUUGGUUGC